UACGCGCCGUCCCAGUGGCGAACAAAGCCGGCGCGGUCGCCUUUGCGCCACGUGCCUGUCUCGCGCACAUUCAUCGAGCACACGAGGCGGGUCCCUGGGCGGCACACCCUGUGCAUGCCGAGGCCGUCGGGAACCUCGCUUUGCGCGUGCCACUCACCGCGGUAUACGCUCGUCGUCCCUUCGGGAUACACGUAAGGUUUAUAGUACCAAUGCACACCGCAUCCGACGCGCGUCCCCGUAGAGUCGAUUGGGCGCGGUGGCGCGCAUUGGGACGCGCACGCCCAGCGGUAUGAGCGCGCCCGGAUGACCGACGGGCAGUGGUGGGGGCACGUGCUGGCGGGCGCAUCAGCAAAGACAUCGAAUGGGCCGUCGCGCCCCUGCGGCCUUGUGGCAAUGAACGGAUGGAGCGGGUGCGAUGCAUCGGAUCGGGCGAUGAAAUGAAUGUCUUUUUCUUCCGAAUCUUGCACGUCCAACCAGGGCCUGUGGUCCAGCGCGUGGCCCUUGUGGGCCAUGCAGGUCCGGUCGAGUUGCGGGCCUGUGCACGGAGGGCACAUGGCGUCGUAGAGACCGCGCCACACCGACUCGUCCAUGGCGAGUCGGUUGAAUCGCCAAGACACACAGGCGACCCUGCCCACGGACGCCAGUGGCAGGCAUGCAACGAUGUGCAGGGCGAUCUCGUCUGGAAGGGCGUCCAUGACCCUAGGUGCUGCCUCCUUUGGUGGUUGUCUUUUUUGUUUUGUCUUGUUUUCAAAUCUCGAUCUGGUGUCGUGCAAAAAUGGGCCUCUUGGUUGGUCGCGAUUAAUGGGUGGCCUUUUCUUUUGUCCGUCCCUGGCAGACCGAGGUGGCCCUCUCUUCCUGUGUGUUUUUCGCCUUGCGGUUCCACUUGUUCGUAUGGCCGACGUCACAGGAAAAAAAUGGUCCAGUGGCCGACGAGGGCUAGCGGAUGUCCACAACCGGCCAGAGCCCCGGUUGGCCGCCAUUUUAGUCAGAGUACACGAAAUUCAUGGCGACGGAAUAAAAAAAGAGUCAAAAAAUCUCGACGGUAACCGAGGGACGUGCGUGCAAACCCAACACCAACGACCCGAUUUCCUACAUU
rnacentral:lncRNA from 1 species